rnacentral:ribozyme from 1 species
CGAUGGGACCGAAGAUAAGAGCAAGAGUUGCAUUUGCUAUCUCCUCUUGUGCAGUGUCUCUCGAGAUCGCCGCGAUGAGAGGGUACACUCCCCCCGCUCCUACUCCCAGGAAUAACCGGAACACUGCGAACUCUCUUACCUCUCUCUCUUUCUCUGAUCCUCCUCCUCCUCCUCCUUCUCUGUGUCUCCCGGGGCAUA